rnacentral:rRNA from 1 species
UACGUAGGGGGCAAGCGUUGUCCGGAAUCAUUGGGCGUAAAGGGCGCGUAGGCGGCUUGGCAAGUGGAUGGUGAAAUCCCUCGGCUUAACCGAGGAACUGCCGUCCAAACUGCUUAGCUUGAGACCGGGAGAGGUGAGUGGAAUUCCCAGUGUAGCGGUGAAAUGCGUAGAUAUUGGGAGGAACACCCGUAGCGAAGGCGGCACUCUGGGCCGAUACUGACACUGAGGAGCGAAAGCGUGGGGAGCGAACAGG